CGCGUGUGGUCUCCCGUCCGUCUGUUCUAGGGCAUUGGGUCCGUCGCGUCCCAUUCGGUUUCUGAGAAAUACUCUGCAAGGUUCAGGGUCGUUGAUCCCUUUACACGUUCAUCGAACAAACGUACUGCGUACUAGACUUGUCUUGACUGAAGCUUGCUCAGAAUGAGCGCCUCUCUAGUGCGUAAAGGGCUGGAUCUUUUCAGUGAAGAUUUGACGAAUCAAUCAGCAAAAACAAAGAAGGGCUCAAGUACAGCAUCUGGUUCAACAACUAACAAAACUGGACUGAAGAAGCUGAAGCAGGCAGAACAGAAACAUAAACUGGGAUCUGCUCCUGAGCUGACCAUCAAGGGCAAGAAGGUCAAAUCUUCACUGAAAAAGUACAACCAGCACAAAUCAAAGGAUAACACAGAAGAAACAAUUAAGUACCUUCAACUUCUCAGUAGUAAGAAGACAAAUCCAAAGGUUGCAGAGCAGGUGGUUGAGUAUCAGCAACGGCGCUCUGCUAGGCCUGUCCCCUGCUCAGCAGAAGGCAAAGCAGCCCAAGUCUUGUUUCUCAGAAGAGGACUUUGCCCGAUUCGAGCGGGAAUACUUUGUUGGUCCGCGUAAGAGGCCGGCCGCGUGACGUGCCUGGUUCUGACUUCGACUGAGUGAACGGGCGAGCGCCUGACCGCUUCAGCGUCGCAAGCAUAGCGCGCCGGUCCUACACUCCAAGCGCUCGGCGGGGUCAGUCCUCAGAGCGGAACCAAUACAC